AGCGAACGCUGGCGGCAGGCCUAACACAUGCAAGUCGAACGAAGCCUUCGGGUUUAGUGGCGGACGGGUGAGUAACACGUGGGAACGUACCUUUUGGUUCGGGAUAACGCAGAGAAAUUUGCGCUAAUACCGGAUGAGCCCUUCGGGGGAAAGAUUUAUCGCCGAAAGAUCGGCCCGCGUUGGAUUAGGUAGUUGGUGUGGUAAAGGCGCACCAAGCCUACGAUCCAUAGCUGGUCUGAGAGGAUGAUCAGCCACACUGGGACUGAGACACGGCCCAGACUCCUACGGGAGGCAGCAGUGGGGAAUCUUGCGCAAUGGGCGAAAGCCUGACGCAGCCAUGCCGCGUGAAUGAUGAAGGUCUUAGGAUUGUAAAAUUCUUUUACCAGGGACGAUAAUGACGGUACCUGGAGAAAAAGCCCCGGCUAACUUCGUGCCAGCCGCCGCCGUAAUAC
rnacentral:rRNA from 1 species